rnacentral:lncRNA from 1 species
UCUUUUACUGUUUUUAGUUAUCAAUUAAACUUGAAAGCAUGCCUACGUUUCUGCACUAUUAUUUCUAUAUUGAACUGUGCCGGUUGAGUUCGUCACUACCUUUCAGUCCAAAGGUUGGAUUGGUUACUUAUUGAGUUGGUUGUACUCACACUACAUCCUGAACCUCGUGUUCUUUUAUCUAUUUCUUCUCUUGCUAGUUACACAAGAAAUCUAUAACAUACUACAAUACUUGUUUGAAGUAGAACAAAGAGAUUGAUAAUGGUUCGAUCAAAGUAUAUUCUUCCUUGGCACCUUCUAUACAAUAUAUAAAUAGUCAGUCUCCAUUCUUUACGGCGUGAUAGCAACUCAAGGGAGUUGAUUCUCAUAAUCAAUCAAGAUGAUUUUCUUCCAAGAAUAGAAUGGACUUUCUUUUCGUUUCUUCCUUGAUUUCCUUUUCCUUGCAAGUCGUUGAGAUGAAUAUUCUUUGUUAUGCGUGAUAGAAUAUUCUAUGUAGAUCUUUUCUAUGGAAUGAUUAAUCUUCUAUACUGAUUGAUUGAUUCUUACAUUAAAUAGUUGACUUGGGUAUCUGUUUUCCAUAAAACUCGCGGUCACAGCAAUUUUACUCCUUGAUUCGUGCCUUUGGAUCUUGACUUGCACGUUUGUCUCAUUGAUUCUUGCUUUCAGAUCUUAUGCUAGAACCUUUCCAAUUCUUGUGACAUCGUUCUUUGGAAUUAGUUUCCUGCAAGUAGAAUUAAGUUAUUGUCUAUCAUUAAAACAUAUAUCUAACAACUUUAUGAGAAGAAGCGCAAAUAUAUUCCAGUAUCUAUUUGGGAGAGCUGGAAGUCUCGCUGGGAGAGUGAGGCUUUUAAAGCCCAGUUCGCGCAAUACUCAAGGAAUCGAUUAGUGAGAAAGGUGGUGAAGGAUCUGGUCCCUCAGGUCAUACAUGAGGCUCCAGAGCUCACUGAGAAUAUGCAAGACUACUGGCAUAUUUAUUUUUCUUUAGCCAAGUUAUAAUAUCUCCAAAGCUAGUCAUUAUGUAUUAAUAUAGUAAUUGUGAUUUUCAAUUUUAGUCUAAAGAGCUAGGAAGACCGCCUCAUCCACAUGAGCUACACAUGUCAAAGCGAACAAGGAGUUUCUGGACGAGAAAUUUAAGAGCACAUAUGUAAGUUACUAUAGCUUGGUUGUCAUUUCUUGACAAGUAAAAGUAAAGCACCUAUCUUGGCUACUAGUUCUGGAAACGCAAACUAAAUAUAAUAAAGGUUUCAUGGUAAGUCAUAUACAAAUAAACUAACUUCUGGUACUUUUAAUAAAGAAAAAAAAUAUUUCAGAUUGCAUUUUUCUCCUUUUAAUAAUAUCUUUAGCUACUGAAGUAGCCUUCAAAUCUGGAGUGACCUCUAAAAACAUGGAGAUGUGCUAAUGAGCUUAUAUUUUAGAAAACUUUUCUCAUGUCUUUGACAUCAUCUCUUUCCAUGUAUGUUUUUCUCAUCGCCAGAUGAUUCUUUGAGCUCUUUUAAAUUUUUUUCUUCUAAUUUUUUGUAUUUAAAAGUGCUCAUUUGUCCUUUGGAUUUAUAGAAUAUAGAUAUUCCUCCAAGAAAACAUUUUUGCAUACGAUAAUUAGAUUUAUAGAGCAUCUGCUUGAUAAGGUAUGUGCACCAUUAUAUUGUUUAUACACUUGCAUAUUCUUCUAUUUUUUUUGGGUUUUAUAUCUUAAUAUUUUUCAUUUUUCCUCUUAAAGUAGUAUAUUAUCUGUGUCAUUGAAAUUCCUCUGAGAUUUAUAAUUGCAGUCUUUAUUAAGAAUAUUAGGUUCUGUAGCUGUGUCUAAUACUGUGUUUUGAUUUCUUAAAGGCAUAUGAUCUUCUCCGCAUUUUCUUUGUGACUGAUUGUUCCAUUGUAGCAGUAAUUUUCUCUUUAGUAUCUUUAUAACCUGUCUUGACUGAUUCUUCGUACAAUUGUAUCAUAAAAUGAGAGUGUAACACAACCUUUGUGUGCUCCUUAAUUAGUUAUUUUAUCUAUAGAAUAACAAAACCUAUUGGAUUUAUGAACAUGAGUUAGACUUCCAUUUUGCUUUACCUUUGAGAUUUUAUAAAUCUGCACAUUUAAGUUAUAGAACCUGUCACUGUUGAAAAUUGUUACUUCUUUAUCAGAAAGUAUAACAAGUUGAUGACAAACAAGUAAUGCAAUUUGUAGGGAAAAAUAUUGUUGUGUACAUCAAAAUAAUUGUUUUUAAGGUGUUAUUAUUGACAUGUAAGUUUUCAGUUUUCUUGCCUUUCUGAUUAUUUCUUGAUGUUUUCUCUUUCAAAAUUUAUUAUUAUAGAUUGUAUAUCAUGUUUAUGAUGACCCAAAAAGUCAUCUUAUAUUUUAAAACUCGAUUCGAUGUUUCGAGGCCUUAAAGACCUUAUUUUAUUCCUUCUCGAUUUGCAUGCGCAGUUUGGGCGUGUUAUCGAAAAGCUUUUAUGUUGAAAGUUGAUAAAAAUAAUAAUUUUUGCCUUUAAAAGUUAAUUUAGUUGACUUCGGUCAACGUUUUGAGUAAACGGAUCCAGACUAGUAUUGUGACAGUUUCGGUAGGUCCGUAAUGAAAUAUGAGACCUGGGCGUAUGCCUGAAAUCAAAUUCCAAGGUCUCUAGCUCGAGAUAUAAAUUUUUGUUAAAAAUUAAAAGACUAAAAAUCUAAUGGUUUUAAGAAUUUGGUUAAUGUUUGAUCUUAUUGGUAUCAGGUUCGUAUUUUGGUUCUGGAGCCCGGUACAGGUUCAUUAUGAUAUUUAAGGCUUAUCUAUAAAAUUUGGUGAGAAACGGAGUUGUUUGACGUGAUUCGAACGUCCGAUUGUGAAAAUAGAGGUUUUAACACUUUCUUGAAAAUUUCAUUCAAUUUAGUGCUAAAUUGGUAGUUAUAGGUGUUAUUUUGGCGAUUUGAUGCGCGAGCAAGUUCGUAUGAUGUCUUAGGACUUGUAUGCAUAUUUAGUUUGGAACCCCGAGGGCUCGGGUGAGUUUCAGAUAGGCUACGAGAUGUUUAGAACUUAGAAAAUCUGAUAUUUUUGGCAUCAGCUGAUAUCUGGUGUGCCUUUCAUCGCGUUCGGGGAGGUACUCUCGGGAACGCAAAAGGUAAAAUGGGGGAAGGGGUAUUUUCUUCUUUGCGAACGCGAAGGACUGGUCGCGAACGUGGAGAAUUGGGGGCAUUACCUUUCGCGAACGCGACCAGGAUCUCACGAACGUGUAGGCAUGGGACCUGGGGGAGGGAAAGUGACCUAUACUCUUCGUGAACGCGGCACAUGGCUCGCGAACGCGUAGGCUGGUGGAAAUAACCCUUCACAAACGCAAAGAGUAUCCCACGAACGCAUAGGCUAAUUGAGCCGCUGCUUCGCGAUCGUGGCAGACCCUUCGGGAACGCGAAGAAGGUUUGACGCCAGUGAUUUAAAACAAACAAGAAUCAGAAUUUUCUCAAAAUUUCACAAUUCUUUCAUUCGAACUCGACCUAGGAGCGAUUUUGAAGAGGGGAUUCAACACGAAAUCAUAGGUUGGUACUCUUAACUCUUUUUCUUCCAUUUCUAACAUCACCCAUUGAAUUCCUAGCCCUAAUCUUUGUUCUUCCAUGUUAGAAAACUAGGGAUUUAGGAAGAAUUGGGGAUUUAAACCACAAUUUGGGGUCGGAUUCCAAAACCAAUUAUAUAUCUGGGCUUGAAUGUAAAUGUGUAAAUGGAUUUUAGUCCGAACCUCGGGUUUUAACCAAGGAGGCCCGGGGUCGGUUUUUUACUUUUUGGAUGAAAGUUUGAUAAAUCUAAAUUUAUGCAUUGUAGUUGGUUCCUUUAGCAAUAAUUGAUGUUACUAAGUUAAUUGUGACUAGAUACAAGUGGUUUGGAGGUAGAAACUAGAGGAAAAGUAGUAAUUGAGCAUUGAGUGGCCCACGGAGCGAGGUAAGUAUUGUGUCUAACUUUGACUCGAGGGAUUAGGAAUCCUUGACUUAUUUGCUAUAUGAAAUCCAUGUGAGCGGUGUAUAGGUGAGGUGACGAGUACCUAUGCACCGCCAAUAUAUCUGUUUUGCCUGUUUUCUUCCCGUUCUUCUUAUAUUCCAUGUAAUUAGGCAUGGAAUUACAUGUUUUACUUGUAAUUCCAUGCCUAAUUGUUAUUUGAUAGACAUUGUAUCUUUUAUUAGAAGAGUUCAUAGCUUCAUUAUUGUUUGAGCUGGUUACUGGUACAUUCAAGGCAUAUUAAGGAUUGGUCUCGUUGAGUUGUAUUACUUGUGUAAAGUCUCAUAGUGCAUAAUCUUUCUAAAUGCUUUGGUUUGACUUGUGAGGAGUUAUGUGAUUUGAAUUGUGUAAUUUAUGUACCUGCUGAGUAAAUGAUAUUGAUAUGGUGGGAUCGAGUUGAGCGUCGCAACAGGUGUAAUAAGAGUGGAUUGUGGUGAGAUAAGGGGUGAAGUAUGGUUGUGGUUAUUGUGAUAUGGUAGGAUCGGGUUGCACACCGCAACAAGUGUAAUAAGGGUGGAUUGUUGAGAAAUAAGGGUGAACUGUGAUUGUGAUUAUCGUGAUAUGGUGGGAUCGGGUUGCACGCCGCAACAAACUUUAGGCUAAUAUUUUCCCUUGAUUGUGUUAGCUGAACGGUAGUCUUAAACUGUACUUAAGGAUUGGCUAUAGCUGAGCACUGAUGAUAUGUUUCGAGAACUGUAUUCAUUCCUUGCAAGUUACUGCUUUAUUUUAUCAUGUCCUUCUUUAUGCUUUUAUUAUACACUGUAUGCAGGUUAUAUUGUAAAUACUCUGUCGUAGCCUCGUCACUACCUCGUCGAGGUUAGGCUCGGCACUGACUAGUACAUGGGGUCGGUUGUAUCGAUACUGCACUCUGCACUUUCUGUGCAGAUUUUAGAGUACUAGGUUACCUAGGUAUCAUAGCACUAGUUUACCUAGGUCUCACAAUUCACGAACAAGCUUAGUAGAGUCUGAAGGAUCGGUACGGAGACGUCUGUGCUUAUCCCGCAGAGGCUACAGAAUUUAGGAACAAUUAAACUUAUAUUCUUCUCUUUCGUGCGAUUUUGUCCUUUCAAUGCUAAUUGAACUCUCUACUCUUGCUCUUUCGUAGAUGACGAGAACACGUACCGCUUCUUCAGCUGAGCAGCAAUUGAGCCCCUAGUGGCAACUCCUACGAGGGAUAAAGGAUGAGGCCGAGGCCGUGCCAAAGGCCAAGACAGGGGCAGGGCUCAGCCCAAAGCUCGAGCAGUAGCACCAGCGGCGGAGCCUCAGGUAGAGUUUGAUGAGGAGGCUCUAGCCCAGACCGUUCCAGUAGGGCGAACUCAGGUUUUAGAGGGGUUCAUCACUACCCCGAUACUUCAGGAUGAUUUGGUCCGUCUAGUGGGACUCAUGGAGAGUGUGGCAUAGGCCAGCACAUUUCUUGUAGCACCAGCUGUCUCUCAGGCUGGUGGAGGAGCACAAACUUCCGCUACCCACACUCUGUAGCAGAUGGCUCCUCAGUUUCAAACUCUAGCAGCUCAGCUUGUUGGGGUAGUUCCGUUGGGUGUUGCAGCACAGAUCGACGAUGGAUCGGCUAUGUCUUUUGAGGCUUUGUGGAGAUUGUAUAGGUUUACCAAACAUUUCCCAUUUCACUAUAACGGUGCAUCUUCGGAGGAUCCCCGGGACUAUCUAGACAGCUAUCACAAGGUGUUACGGAACAUGGGGAUAGUGGUGACCAAUGCGGUUGACUUUGAUAUAUUUCGUCUGUCGGGAUCUGCCAAGAAAUGGUAGAGGGAUUAUAUGUUGGCCAGACCAGCUGGUUCGCCACCUCUUAAUUGGGACCAGUUCUCUCAGGUAUUUCUUGAGAAGUAUCUUUCUAUCACUCAAGGAGAGGACUACCGGAGGCAGUUCGAGCAUUUGCAGCAGGGUUCUAUGACUGUCACUUAGUACAAGACUCGAUUUGUGGAUCUGGAUGGUCACGCUAUUCUCCUACUUCCUACCGAGAGAGAGAGAGGGUGAGUAGGUUUAUUGAGGAACUUGUUAAGCCUAUCAGAUUGCAGAUGGUUAAGGAGACUGGGAGUGAGAUUUCUUUCCACGAUGCAGCCAGCGUUGCCAGGUGAGUUGAGAUGGUUUUAGAUCAAGGGAGUGGUCAGGGGUCUGACAAGAGGCCGCAUCACUCUGGUGGAUUCAGUGGGGCCUCAUCUGGAGGUCGAGGUACUUUUGGUAGAGGCCAUCAUCCCAAGCCGUUUCAUUCACCACUCCAGGCAUCCCAUGGUGCUUCAGGUGGUCGUGGUCCUCACAUGCAUUAUUCAGAUCAGCUAGCCUAUAGUGCACCACCAGCUCCUAUCAGUGCACCUCCUAUUCAGAGUUAUUACCGUGGUCAACCAGCCUGUUCGGGUCAGUCUCAGUUUCUACAACCAUAUUAUCAGGAUGGAUGCUUCUAGUGUGGUGGCUAUGGGCAUAUCAGGAGGACCUAUCAGAGAUUAUUGGGCGUUCUGCCACAGUAACAGAGUUCUUGUACCAUGAUUCCAGCACCGAAUGUGCCACAACCCCCUCAGCCAGUUAGAGGUAGGGAUUAGGGAGCCAGAGGUAGAGGUCAGACCGCUAGAGGUGGAGGUCAGGCCGUUAGAGGUGAAGGCUAGGCUGCUAGAGGUGGAGGCUAGCCAGCAGGAGACCGUCUCAGAGAUAUGGUUCGGAGUGGUGGGGCCCAGCCCCGAUGUUAUGCUUUUCCAACCAGGCUUGAGGCUGAGUCAUCUAAUGUUGUUAUCAUAGGUACUAUUUCAGUUUGCAAUAGAGAUGCUUCAGUUCUAUUUGAUCUAGGGUCUACAUACUCCUAUGUGUCAUCUUACUUUGUUUCAUAUUUGGUUGUGCCCUGUGAUUCCUUGGGUGCCCAUGUAUAUGUGUCUGCACCAGUGGGGGGUUCUAAUGUUGUAGAUCGUGUUUAUCGUUCAUGCGUAGUUAUUAUUAGGGGUCUUGAGUCUAGUGUAUAUCUCCUACUUCUCGAUAUGGUUGAUUUUGAUGUCAUUUUGGUGAUGGAUUGGUUGUCACCUUAUCAUGCUAUAUUGAAUUGUCACGCCAAAAUAGUGACCUUAGCCUUGUCGGGGUUGCCUCGAUUAGAGUGGAGGGGGAUUCUUGGUCAUUCUACCAGCAGUGUUAUCUCUUAUAUAAAGGAUCGGCGUAUGGUCGAGAAGGGGUAUCUAGCUUAUUUAGCUUAUGUCCGUGGCUCUAGUGGAGGUUCCUUCCAUGGAUUCGGUACCAAUUGUUCGAGAGUUUCUAGAGGUAUUUUCUAUAGACCUGUCGGGGAUGCCACCCAAUAGGGAUAUUGACUUCUGUAUUAAUUUGUUCUGGGCACUUGGCCCAUUUCUAUUCUGCCAUAUCGUAUGGCCCCGCUAGAGUUUAAAGAGCUGAAGGAGCAGUUGCAAGAUUUUCUUGAUAAGGGCUUUAUUAAACCUAGUGUCUCGCCUUGGGGUGCGCCCGUGUUGUUUGUAAAGAAGAAGGAUGGGUCAAUGAAGAUGUGCAUAGAUUAUCGGUAGUUGAACAAAGUCACUAUCAAGAACAAGUAUCUAUUGUCGAGGAUUGAUGACUUAUUUGAUCAGCUUCAGGGUUCCAAAGUGUUUUCAAAGAUCAAUCUGAGGUCUGGCUACCAUUAGGUGAGGAUUAGGGCAUCCGAUGUCCCUAAGACAGCUUUUCGGACUCGAUAUGGGCAUUCUGAGUUCCUGGUGAUGUCAUUUGGCUUGACAAAUGCCCCAGCAGCAUUUAUGAAUUUGAUGAACCGAGUGUUCAAGCCUUACCUGGAUUCCUUUGUGAUUGUGUUUAUUGAUGAUAUCUUGAUCUACUCCCGUAGCCGAGAGGAGGAUGAGCAUCAUCUUCGGAUCGUACUUUAGACUCUGAGAGACAGCCAGUUAUAUGCUAUGUUUUCAAAAUGUGAGUUUUGGUUAAGUUCAAUUGUUUUCUUGGGUCACUUUGUAUCAGUAGAGGGUAUUCAGAUGGAUCCUAAGAAGAUUAAGGCCAUUCAGAAUUGGCCUAGACCUAUUUCAGCUAUAGAGAUCUGUAGUUUCUUGGGAUUGGCAAGUUAUUACCGUCGGUUUGUGGAGGGUUUCUCAUCUAUAGCAGCCCCGUUGACCAGGUUGACCCAUAAUGGUGCCCCGUUCAGAUGGUCAGACGAGUGUGAGGUGAGCUUUCAAAAUCUCAAGACAGUUUUGACUACGACGCCGGUGUUGGUGUUGCCCAUAAGUUCAGGGCCUAUACAGUAUAUUAUGACACAUCUCGUAUUGGACUUGGUGUGGUAUCGAUGCAGGGUGGCAAGGUUAUUUCAUAUGUUCUAUGGCAGCUAAAGGUUUACAAGAAGAAUUAUCCUUUAUAAGACUUGGAGCUGGCAGCCAUUGUUCAUGCGCUGAAGAUUUGGAGGCACUAUCUAUAUGGUGUGUGGUGUGAGGUGUUCACGGAUCAUAAGAGUUUACAAUAUUUGUUCAAGCAGAAAGAGCUAAAUUUGAGGCAGAGGAGGUGGUUGGAGCUAUUGAAAGACUAUGAUAUCACCAUCUUGUAUCAUCCUAGGAAGGCCAAUGUGGUGGCCGAUGCUUUGAGUAGGAAGUCAGCUAGUAUGGGCAGUCUUGCGUACAUUUCAGUCGGUGAGAGACCGCUUGCAUUAGAUGUUCAAGCCUUAGCCAAUCAGUUCGUGAGGUUGGAUGUUUCUGAACCCAGUCGUGUUUUAGCUUGCACAGUCACUCGGUCUUUCUUGUUUGAGCGUAUCAGGGAGUGGCAGUAUGAUGACCCUCAUUUGCUUGUCCUUAGGGACAUAGUGCGGCACGGUGAUGUUAGAUCGGAUUUUAAUGAUGAAAUAAUAUAUUUUUCUUUGUAUAGGAACUCCUAGAUAGGAUUCAAGAUUGAAGGAAUCAAACAGAGAAGAUCAAGGAACUCAUGGAUGGCAUACAAGAUUGAAGGAAUCAAUCAGAGAGAAUCAAGGAAAGCGGACGAGAUUAAAGGAAUCAUUGAUACUAACGGAAUCAAUUAAGGCUAGACUGAAGGAAUUAAAUCAAUCAAGAGUAUCAAAGAUCUUGCAAGAUAAUCAAUCAAGUAUACUAAAUUAGGAAGGAUCAAGAUUCAAGGAUCACGCAUAAGGAAAGUCAUUAAAGCCUCUCGUUAAGACAAAGCCGUUGCUGAAUAACCUUAUUCUUGGAAAGAAUCAAUCUCUUUCCAAGGAUCAAAUCUCCUUGGUUGGAAAAUCUUUCCAGAAUUCAAGCCUCUCUCAAAGUAUUUAAACUUGUAUCUGUACCUUUGCACAUAUACUUUGAUCGAACCAAAUACCCUUUCUUUGUUCUACUACAAACAAACAUUAUAGCUCUACUAGACCUGCUAUGUAACAAGUUAGAGAAGAAAGAGAGACCAACAAUGGUGAGGCAUUGUAUCAAAAAAAACGAGUGAUAUAGGAACUGAGCUAUCGGUGUAGAUCACACCAUUCACUCUGUACUCGAGAAACUCAUUUGCUGAAAGAGAACUCAUUUGCAACCCAAGGGGACUGGACUAGGAUUCACAUUGAAUCCGAACCAGUAUAAAAAUUCUUGUGUCUUUAAUUCCUGCAUUUAAUUUUUGCAUCUUGAACUCUAUCAUUACUGUUAUCAAGUUAUUAUAUCUAGUCGACUAAUUAGAAAACUAGUCAACUGGUAGCAACUAUUUUUAAAAAUAAAUAAUUCACCUUAAUUGGUAUCAGAGCAAGGCUCACAUUUUUCUUUUGCUUAACAGCUUGUGAGAAAAGAUCAUGGAAAAUCAAGUUAUCAUAGGAGCACUCUUCCAAGAAGGAACUUCACAAGUAAGGCCACCAUACUUCAAUGGACAACAUUUCUCCCACUGGAAAGUGCGUAUGGAAAUAUAUGCAAUGGCUUAUGAUGUUAAAGUCUGGAGAGUUAUCAAAAAGGGAAACUAUCCUUUGCCGGUUGUCGCUCAACCAUUUACUGAUCCUGAAGAUAUAGAUUCAUAUACAGAUGAGAAAAUGGCAGUUGUACAAGUCAACAAUAAGGCGAGAAAUUUGCUCUAUAAUGCUAUAAGUGGUGAAGAGUAUGAGAAAAUCUCCAGUUAUGACACAGACAAAGAGAUGUGGGAUAAGCUUGAAGUUACAUACGAAGGAACCAGCAAAGGAAAGGAAACACAUAUCAACAUGUUGGUUCAUGAUUAUGAACCCUUUCAGAUGAAAGAAGAAGAAUCUAUUGAAGAGAUGUUUGCCAAAUUCAGUAAAAUCAUGAGCGAUCUAAAAGCUUUUGGCAAACCAUACUCAAGUGGUGAUCAAGUUAGAAAGAUUCUUAGAAACAUACCCACUACUUGGUAGACCAAAGUAGUCACACUUGAAUCACAUGAACUGAAUAAGUUAUCAUAUGAUGUACUUCGAGGAGAACUCAUAGCUUUCGAGAAAACACAUCUCAAUAAAAAAAACCAAGAAGAAAAGAAGAAAAUAUUUGCAUUCAAGGCCAUAACUGAAAUAGCUGAAAAUGAUAUCGAUGAUGAUCCUGAAGUUCUUAAAGAAGAAAUUGCUAUGAUGUCAAGAAACAUGGAUAGUUUAAUGAGAAGAUUCAGGAAUAUGAGAAGAGGAAGGAUUCCACCUAGGCGAUCCAGGCAAUAUAAUGAACAAGAUAAGAAUGAUGGGAAAUGCUAUGAGUGUGGAAGAUUUGGACAUAUUCAAGCUGAGUGUCCAGAUCUAAAAAGAAAAAACUCCAGAGGUUUCAACAAGAACAAAUCAUUUGGAAGCUGGAAUGAUGAAGACAGUUCAGAACACGAAGAAAUAGUAAAUCUUUGCUUCAUGACAAUUCUGUAAAAUGAUAUGAACAAACUUUCAGGAUGCUGGACAGAUGAGGACACUUGAGACGAGUGAAUACAAAGAUAACAAUGAGAACUAUUUCAUGGCACGAGGUGAAACAAGUGAGGUAAGGUUUUAUAACUGUAAAAGAUGUAAUGAAUUGCAGGAUAUUCUUGAUCUUACUUUGAAACAGUCUCAAAAAAUGAUGAAUGAACUAAAGAGACUCAACAAAGAAGUAAAAGACUGGAAGCUCAAACAUAAAGUAUGUGAAAUCGAAAAAGAAGUACUUAAAGAAAAGUUUUAGGAAUUGCAAAUGCAACUCAAUGGCAUGCGCAAAUCCACCAGUCAUAGUUCUACCAGGUCAAACCAAGCGACUUGCAAGUCAACUGGAGAAGGACCAUCCAGAACAGAGUACACUAGUACUAAUACUAAUGAAAGAUCCAAAAAUGGAUCAGGAGUUACGUGUGACUACUGCAACAAAAGUUGACCUAAAUAUUCCUUUUGUCGAUUUCAUAAGUCAAAUAUUCCAAGAUGGAUUUGGAAACCCAAAAACAAUUCUGAACCUAGCAGUACUAACCAACCAGGACCCAAGCAAGCUUAGGUACCUAAAAGAAAGUAAUUACUAUGUUUUGUAGGAACACCACAGGAGAAGUUGCAAAGGAAAAUGGUACCUAGAUAGUGCAUGUUCCUGUCACAUGACAGGUGAUAAAAACAUGUUCAAGGAAGUUACAAAAAUAGAUGGAGUAAGCGUUAAGUUUGGCAAUGAUUCAAAAGGAAAAUAGUCGGUACCGGAACAAUUCCCUUCAAUAACAACUGCGAUAUCAUUGAGGUUUAUCUUGUUGAUGGACUUAACUACAAUCUUUUGAGUAUAAGUCAGCUAUGCGACUCAGGAUAUGAGGUACAAUUUAAGAAAACAGGAUGCGCUAUUGAAGAUGAGAUAGGUAAAAUAAUCCUCCCACAUAAAAGGUAUGGAAAUGUUUACAUUCUUGAUGGUUUUGAAAAUAUAGAUUCAUAUCUGUUUAACAUCCAUAUCUGAUGAUCCUUGGUUAUGGCAUAGGAAACUUGGUCAUGCAAGCAUGCAUUUGAUAGAAAAACUUUCUAAGCAUGAGCUAGUUAUUGGUUUACCCAAACGGAAUUUCUCUAGAAAUCAUAUAUGUGACGCUUGUCAAAUUAGGAAACAAACUAGAAACUAUUUCAAAAACAAGGAUAUUGUAUCUGCCUCUAAUCCUUUGCAACUGCUUCAUAUGGAUUUAUUUGGGCCUACUAGAACUGCUAGCAUAGGAGGAAAACGAUAUGCUUUUGUUAUUGUUGAUGAUUACUCACGUUUUACUUGGGUGAUUUUCUUAUCUUAUAAAGAUGAAGUGUUGAAAAAUUUUAAGAGUUUCUGUAAGAAGGUUGAAAGGAAAAGGGGUAUCUGAUUACAACAAUCCAAAGUGAUCUUGGAGGAUAAUUUGAAAAUAGAGCAUUUGAAGACCUCUGUAAUGAUCAAGGAUAUACUCAUAAUCUUUUUGCACCAAGAUCACAACAACAGAAUGGAGUCAUUGAAAGGAAAAAUAGAACCCUACAAGAUAUGGCAAGAACUAUGUUACCAGAUCAUUCACUGUCAAAAUCAUUUCUGGGCAGAAGAAGUAAGUACAGUAUGUCACAUUCUCACCGAUGUCUCAUAAGGCCUAUUUUGAAGAAAACACCUUAUGAACUAUGGAAAGGUAAACGUCUUAAUAUCAGUUAUUUUCAUCUCUUUGGAAGUAAUUGUUUCAUUCACAAUAAUAGUAAGGACAAUCUUGGAUAAUUCGAUCCAAAAAGUGAUGAAGGUAUUUUUCUGGGUUAUUCAUUGAAUAGUAGAUCCUUUAGAGUCUAUAAUAAACGCACAUUAUGUGUGGAAGAAUCUGUAUAUGUUAUAUUUUAUGAAAGUAACUCCUCGACCGAGAAAGGAAUUACUGCAGGUGAUGAAGAUCAAGCUCAAGAAGUUCAAGAGACAAGCAAAUCUCAAAAAUCGACUGAUGGAUCUGAUGUUGCUAUAAAGUCAACUAGUGAAACCAGCAACAAUCCACCAGAACCUCCAAAGGAGUCAACUACUCAUAUAGUUCGUCCAAAUGAAUAAAAAGUGAACCUGAAUAUCCUCAAAAAUUCAUCAUAGGGGAUCCAAGAGAAGGAAUGAAAAUCAGGAGAGCUCUCAAAAAGAAAGCAAACAUAGCACUAAUCUCUCAGAUUGAGACAAAGAAUAUAUAAGAACCUCUAAAAGACUCAAGUUGGAUACAAUAGAUGUAGGAAAAGCUAGAUUAAUUCGACAAAAAUUAAUAUGGAAACUGAUACCCAAACCUGAAAGUGUUCCUGUAAUUGGAAUGGGUUGUCAGAAAUAAACAGAAUGAGGAUGGAAAAGUUGUAAGAAACAAAGCCAGAUUAGUUGCUCAAUGAUAUUCACAACAAUAAGGAGUUGACUAUGACGAAACUUUUGCCCUAGUAGCUCGACUGGAAUCUAUACGAAUCCUUCUGGCAUAUGCAUCCUUUUAGGGAUUCAGGCUAUUUUAUAUGGAUGUUAAAAGUGCAUUCUUGAAUGGUUUCAUUGAAGAGGAAGUAUACAUGAAACAACCUCCUGGGUUUGUAGAUUCAAAGUUUCCCUAUCAUGUGUAUAAGCUAACCAAAGCAUUGUAUGGACUAAAGCAACCUCCACCAGCAUGGUUCAAAAGACUCGGUUCAUUUCUUAUUAAUCAUGGUUUUACAAGAGGUAAAGUAAACACUACUCUGUUUAUUAAAAGAUUAUCAGAAGGUAAUCUCAUUAUUCAGAUUUAUAUUGAUGAUAUUAUAUUUGGUAGUUCUAAUCCUCUAAUGUGCAAGGAAUUUUCAAAUCUUAUGCAAAGUGAGUUCGAAAUGAGCAUGAUGGGAGAGCUAACAUUCUUCCUUGGACUUCAAAUCUAACAAUCUGAAGAAGGAACGUUAAUAUGUCAGACCAAAUAUACAAAGGAGUUGAUCCGAAAAUUCAGCAUGAGCAAUGCAAAAGCUAUUGGCACACCAAUGAGUCCUUCAACAAGUCUCGACAAAGACGAAUAAGGAAUUCAUGUUGAUGAAAUUAAGUAUCGUGGAAUGAUUGACUCACUUCUUUAUCUAACUGCUAGUCGACCGGAUAUUAUGUUUAGUGUUUGUAAAUGUGCUAGCUUUCAGUCAGCUCCUAAGAAAUCACAUCUGACUGCAGUAAAAAGAAUUAUUCAAUAUCUCAUUGGAACUAUCUCUCAUGGACUAUGGUAUCCUCGUUCUACCACGUUUAAAUUAGAAGAUUUUUCAUAUGCUGAUCUUGCAGGUGAUAAAGAAUAUAGAAAAAUCAUAAGUGGAACAUGUCAAUUACUUGCAAAGCAUUAAUAACUUGGAAUUGUAAAAAACAAGCAUCAGUUGCACUAUCUACUACUGAAGCUGAAUACAUUGCUAUUGGACAAUGCUGUGCACAAUUAUUAUGGAUGUCUCAUCAACUUGGUGAUUAUGAACUAUUGUUUAAGACUAUACCAAUGUCUUUCUAAAAAUCAAGUGCAUCAUUCUAGGGCAAAGCAUAUAGAUAUCAAGCAUUAGUUUAUUAGAGAUCGUGUUCUUAAAGGAAACAUAGAAAUAUCUUUUGUUGGAACAACUGAUCAAUUAGCAGAUAUUUUUACUAAGCCUUUAGUAGAAGAAAGAUUUUGCUCUCUAAGAGAAUUACUUGGCAUUAUUUGCAUUAACAGUUAGGACCUAUAUGCUAUUAUUUUGUUUUGUAUGCCUAAUGUUCUAUAUCUUUUCUUAAUCAUUAAUUACGCCUCUGAUUUCCCUCUCUUUUCACAUCAGUCGCAAAGUUGAAAGAAGGAAAGCCAAUCAUCACGUCUGAUCAACUGACGCAUUUUCCUUUUCUGUACUCAACCGUCAGAAACACUCUUUUUAAUGUUGAAACUCCUUUUCAAUCUCCAUUGUCCUUGUCGCCUAAAAACCCUUCUUAGAAGCAUUUCCCAAACAGAAAAUAUUUUCAAUGGCCAAACACCCCAAAAAUCCCUUUGCCUCCACUAGGAAAAGAACUCGCUCCAGAGCAAAACCCCCUUCUAUGCCCCCUUAACAGGUAGACCUAGGGUCCAAUCAUUCUGAGGGGUUUGCCUCUUCUCAGGCAAAUUUUUCUGAUCAUUCUCACCCUUUAGGAGAAAAAGCUUUGGGAAAAAGACCUAUGGAAGAACCCCUUGUUUCCUCCACUCCAAAGAAAUCAAAAAUAGAUCUUUCUAGUUCCCUAGAGUCGGACCUAAAUUUCUGGGAUUCUCCAAAUAGGGACUUUUUCAUCGCCCUGAAAAACAAGCCUAUUGCUCAUGGGAGGGUAGUCGACCUUGAUAACAUGGAAAACCUAAAUUGUAAGGUAAAAGAUCUUUUCGUUUAUCAAGGGUGGUCAAAGUUCUUUUCUGUUCCUCUGCCUAAAGUCUAUGAACCCCUUGUGAGAAUGUUUUAUGACAAUAUUCACUCUAAUAAGUUUGAUAAGUUGGAGUCUUUAGUGUUAUAAAGCGUAUUUUUUUAAUGUGCCUUGUGUGAUUCAAUCUUUCAGUGUAAAUGUUCUAGUUUCCCCAUGCUUUUCAAAAAUUCUUGGCCUGAUGAUUUUAAAAUUUCUUUUGAUCAAGCUAAAAGGUGUAUUAAUGAAUGUCCAUCUGAAUCUCUCCCAAACUAGUUAGGCCCUAGUGAUGUUAGUUUCAAAACUCGAGUUUUGGCCCACAUUGUUGUAACCACUCUGCUUCCUCGUACUAGCUCAUUCUCCACCUUCUUUCAAAGAGGCACCUUUCUGGUCUAUUGCCCUGUGACCAAACUUAAAAUCAAGUUGUCCUCCUAGGUCAUCAAUUUAUGAUUGAAAGUGCAAAUGAUCCCACUAGUCUACCAUAUGGUAUGGCCAUCACUCACAUUCUGGAAGCUCACAAUAUUUCCAUAUCUGCAUAUCCCUUUACCUCUGUUUCAAAAUCUUACAACUCUAUAGCUUUUGCGAGUAUGGGUUAUGUGUGUAUGAAGGGAUCAUGGGUUAAGAAACAAGAAGGAGAAGUCAAGAAUGCUCAAACAGACUCCAAACCCAAACCUUCCUUCCCAUCCUAGCCAUAGUGACCCUGACCUUGCUUAAAAGCUUAGUGCCAUUGACAAUCAGCUCUCUACAAUUAAAGAUCUUCUCAUUGCCACUCUGUCCACUGUUGGUACCAUUCAUGAUAUCUCCAAUGAAACAGGGCCUGAUGUUUCCAAGAUAAGAGUUGUGGUUCACAAAGUAAGGGAAAACACUAUCAAGGCAUUCAAGGAGGUUCAUGACAGGCUUGAUGGAAUGAAUGUUUUAGCCAAUGCCAGCUUUGAUCGAUUGAAGGAGGCAAUCUGCAAUACUCUUACCUAUUUUCUGCGUCGUUAAUGUGAAAUUUUAAGACAAUUUUUUUGCUGUGCUAUUUUUGGACUAAAAAAUCAGUUGGUGGAUAAUUUUUUUUCUUGUUGUUUUCUUUUGUUUUGAUACAACUCUGCCAACACAUCUUGUUAUAAAUCCUAUUUUCGUAUGUCAUCUGUUUUUCUAUUCCCUCUUUGCUGAUGUCUAAAAGUGGGAGAAAUGAUAUAUGUAUUGUACAGGUACAUACAAGAAUAAGUCGAUUGAAGGGUAAGUUACAAUACAAGAAUAAGUCGACUAAAGGGUAAGACAGCUUGGCACUUUUUGAGAGGGAGUCACAGAUCCUGCAUAAGAAGUCGACUACAUGAGCCUCAACAGCUCUCAUUGAGGGUGAGUAAAAUAUAGGGAAGUCAACUAAUGUUUAUACAUAUAUAUUAUUUUGUCAUCAUCAAAAAGGGGGAGAUUGUUAGAUCUGAUUUUAAUGAUGAAAAUAAUAUAUUUGUUCUUUGCAUAGGAACUCAUGGAUAGCAUUCAAAAUUGAAGGAAUCAACCAUAGAAGAUCAAGGAACUCAUGGAUGGAAUACAAGAUUGAAGGAAUCAAUCAGAGAAAAUCAAGGAAAGCAGACGAGAUUAAAGGAAUCAUUAAUACUGACGGAAUCAAUUAAGUCUAGACUGAAGGAAUCAAAUCAAUCAAGAGUAUCGAAGAUCUUGCAAGAUAAUUAAUCAAGUAUACUAAAUCUAGAAGGAUCAAGAUUCAAGGAUCACGAAUAAGGGAAGUCAUUGAAGCCUCUCGUCAAGACAAAGUCGUUGUUGAAUAACCUUAUUCUUGGAAAGAAUCAAUCUCUUUCCAAGGAUCAAAUCUCUUGGGUUGGCAAAUUUCUCCAGAAUUCAAGCCUCUCUCAAAGUAUUUAAACAUGUAUAUGUACCUUAGCACAUAUACUUUGAUCGAACCAAAUACCCUCUCUUUGUUCUACUACAAAUAAACAUUGUAGCUCUACUAGACCUACUAUGUAACAAGUUAGAGAAGAAAGAGAGACCAACACUGGUGAGGCAUUGUAUCAAAAGAAACGAGUGAUAUAGGAACUGAGCUAUCGGUGUAGAUCACACCAUUCACUGUGCAGUCGAGAAACUCAUUUACUAAAAGAGAACUCCCUUGCAACCCAAGGGGACUGGACUAGGAUUCACAUUGAAUCUGAACCAGUAUAAAAAUUCUGGUAUCUUUAAUUCCUGCAAUUAAUUUCUGCAUUUUGAAUUUUAUCAUUACUGUUAUCAAGUUAUUAUAUCUAGUCGAAUAAUUAUAAAACUAGUCAACUGGUAGCAACUAUUUUUAAAAAUUAACAAUUCACCCCCCCCCCUAUGUACUUCCAGGUGAUACCAAGCAGGUUACGGUUGGAGAUAAUGGAGUUUUGAGGAUGCAGGGUCGUGUUUGUGUGCCUAAUGAGGAUGGACUUCAUGAGUUGAUUCCUGAGGAAGGUCAUAGUUCCCGGUAUUCUAUUCACCUGGGCGCCACCAAGAUGUAUCAAGACUUGCGGUAGCAUUAUUGGUGGAGGAGGAUGCAGAAGGAUAUUGUUGCAUAUGUAGCUCGAUGUCCAAAUUGUCAGCAAGUAAAGUACGAGCAUUAGAGACCUGGUGGUUUGCUUUAGAGUAUAGAGAUUCCUGAGUGGAAGUGGGAGCGUAUCAUUAUGGAUUUCGUUGUUAGACUCCCAUGAACUUAGAGGAAGUUCGAUGUUGUUUGGGUUAUUGUGGAUAGACUGACCAAGUCAGCGCAUUUCAUUCCUGUGGCAGUUACCUAUUCUUCAGAGUGGUUGUUAGAGAUUUAUAUCCGUGAGAUAGUUCAUCUUUACGGUAUGCCCGUGUCUAUCAUUCUUUAUCAAGGUACGUAGUUUACCUCGCACUUGUGAAGGUUAAUACAGCGUGAGUUGGGUAUACGGGUUGAGUUGAGCACAACAUUUCAUCCUUAUACGGACGGAUAGUUCUGUGAGAUCGUUCGUCUUCACGGUGUACUCAUGUCUAUCAUUUCUGAUCGAGGUAUGCAGCUUACCUCGCACUUCUGGAGGGCAGUACAGCGUGAGUUGGGUAAGCGGGUUGAGUUGAGCACAAUAUUUCAUCCUCAGACUUUGGAGGAUCGUGGGAUCAGUUCUUGCCGCUAGCGGAGUUUUCCUACAACAAUAGCUAUCAGUCGAGCAUCCAGAUGGCUUUCUAUGAGGCAUUAUAUGGUAGACGGUAUCAGUUUCCGAUGGGAUGGUUUGGGUCGGGGGAGGCUCGGUUAUUGGGUAUAGAUUUGGUACAGGAUACCUUGGAUACGGUUAAGAUCAUUCAGGAUAGACUUCGCAUAUCUCAGUCCAAGCAGAAGAGGUAUGCCGACCGUAGGCUUCGUGAUGUGACAUUCAUGGUUGGAGAGAAAGUGUUGCUUUAGGUAUCCCCAAUGAAGUGUGUAAUGAGGUUUGGGAAGAAGGGCAAGUUGAGCCCUAGGUUUAUCGGGCCUUUUGAGAUCCUUGAGCGAGUGGGAGAGAUGGCCAACAGACUUGCAUUGCCACCAGGCUUAUAAGCGGUCCAUCCAGUGUUUCAUGUGUCCAUGCUUCGGAAGUAUUAAAGAGAUCCAUCCCACGUGUUAGAUUUAUGCACUGUCCAGUUGUCAAAGGUUUGACCUACGAGGAGGAGCCGGUAGCUAUUCUAGACCGACAGGUUCGUUAGUUGAGAUCGAAGAGUUAUCCUUCAAUUCAGGUGAAGUGGAGAGGUCAACCGGUUGAGGCAGCUACUUGGGAGUCCGAGUCUGAUAUACGAAGCAAAUAUCCCCACCUUUUCCAGUUCAGGUACUUUUCUAUGUCCGUUCGAGGACGAGCGGUUAUUUUAGAGGUGGAGAAUGUGAUGACCAAAAAGGUCAUCUUAUAUUUUAGAACUCGAUUCGGUGUUUCAAGGACUUUAAGACCUCAUUUUAUCCCUUCUCAAUUUGUGUGCGUAGUCCGAACGUGUUACUGGAAAGCUUUUAUGUUGAAAUUUGAUGAAAAUAAUAAUUUUUGCCUUUAAAAGUUGAUUUAGUUGACUUCGGUCAACAUUUUGAGUAAACGGAUUCGUAUUUUGAUAAUUCCGGUGGGUCCGUAAUGAAAUAUGGGACCUGGGCGUAUGCCCGUAAUUGAAUUCUGAGGUCCCUAGCUCGAGAUAUGAAAUUUUGGUAAAAAUUAAAAGACUGAAAAUCUAAUGGUUUUAAGAAUUUGGUUAAUGUUUGAUCUUGUUGGUAUCGGGUCCGUAUUUUGGUUCCGAAACUCGAUACAGGUUCAUUAUAAUAUUUAAUACAUGUCUNNNNNNNNNNNNNNNNNNNNNNNNNGUUUUAACACUUUCUUGAAAAUUUCAUUCAAUUUGGUGCUAAAUUCGUAGUUAUAGGUGUUAUUUUGGUGAUUUGAUCAUGCGACCAAGUUCGUAUGAUAUUUUAGUACUUGUGUGCAUGUUUGGUUUGGAGCCCUGAGGGCUCGGGUGAGUUUCGGAUAGGCUACGGGAUGUUUAGAACUUAGAAAAUCUGAGUUUUUUGGCUCCCGCUGAUAUCUGGUGUGCCCUUCAUCGCGUUCCCGGAGGUUGUCUCGCGAAUGCGAAAGGUAAAAUAGGGGUAGGGGUAUUUUCUUCUUUGCGAACGCGGAGUAUUGGGGGCAUUACCUUCCCGAACGCGACUAGGCUCUCGCGAACGCAUAGGCAUAGGACCUGGGGGAGGUGAAGUGACCUAUACCCUUCGCGAACGCGGCACAUGGCUCGCGAACACGUAGGCUGGUGGGAAUAAGCCUUAGCAAACGCAAAGAGUAUCUUGCAAACGCAUAGGCUAGUUGAGCCGUUGCUUCGCCAUCGCUUCAGACCCAUCGCGAACGCGAAGAAGGUCUGACGCCAGUGAUUUAAAACAUACCAGAAUCGGGAUUUUCUCAAAAUUUCACAAUUAUUUCAUUAUAACUCGACCUGGGAGAGAUUUUGAAGAGGGGAUUCAACACCAAAUCAUAGGUUUGUACUCUUUAACUCAUUUUCUUCCAUUUCUAACAUCACCCAUUGAAUUUCUAGCCCUAAUCUUUGUUCUUCCAUGGUAGAAAACUAGGGAUUUAGGAAGAAUUGAGAAUUUUUGCAAAUUAGGGAUUUAGACCUCGAUUUAAGGUCGGAUCCAAAACCAAUUAUAUAUUCAGUCUCGGGGAUGAAUGGGUAAAUAGAUUUUGGUCCGAACCUCGGGUUUUGACCAAGCGGGCCUGGGGUCGGUUUUUGACUUUUUAUGGAAAAGUUUGAGAAAUCUAAAUUUAUACAUUAUAGUUAAUUCCUUUAGCAAUAAUUGAUGUUAUUGAGUUAAUUGUAACUAGAUACAAGUGGUUUGGAGGUGAAAACUAGAGGGAAAACGGUAAUUGAGCGUUGAGUGGCCCGCGGAGCGAGGUAAGUGUUUUGUCUAACUUUGACACGAGGGAUUAGGAAUCCUUGACUUAUUUGCUAUAUGAAAUCCAUGUGAGCGGUGUAUAAGUGAGGUGACGAGUACCUAUGCACCGCCAAUUUAUCUGUUUUGCCUGUUUUCUUCCCGUUCUUCUUAUAUUGUCUUUUUCUGCCUUAACUACUACAUGUUUUACUUGUAAUUCCAUGCCUAAUUGUUAUUUGAUAGACAUUGUAUCUUUUAUUGGAAGUGUUCGUAGCUUCGUUGUCUCCUAUUAUUGUUUGAGCUGGUUACUGGUACUUUCAAAGCAUAUUAUGGAUUGGUCUCGCUGAGAAGUAUUACUUGUGUAAAGUCUCAUAGUGCAUAAUCUUUCUAAAUGCUUUGCUUUGAAGUUGAGCCUUGUGAGAAGUUAUGUGAUUUGAAUUGUGUAAUUUCUGUACCUGCUGAGUAAAUGAUAUUGAUAUGGUGGGAUCGGGUUGUGCGUCGCAACAAGUGUAAUAAAGGUGGAUUGUAGUGGGAUAAGGGGUGAACUGUGAUUGUGGUUAUUGUGAUACGGUGGGAUCGGGUUUCAUGCCACAACAAGUGUAAUAAGGGUGAAUUGUGGUGAAAUAAGGGUGAACUGUGAUUGUGAUUAUUGUGCUAUGGUGGGAUCGGGUUGCACGCCGCAACAAUCUUUAUGCUUAUAUUUUCCCUUAACUGUGCUAGUUGAACGGUAGUCUUAAACUAUACUUGAGGAUUGGUUAUAGCUGAGCACUGAUGAUAUGUUUCGAGAACUAUAUUUGCCACACCUCCUUUUUACUACACCCGUAAGGGUAUAAGGGAGUUUUUUCUAAUUUAAGUGACAAUCGAAACGAGAUUAUUUAUUUAAGAAUCAGAGUCUCCACUUGGGAUAAUUAAUGGUGUCCCAAGUCACCUAUUUAAAAUCCUGAAUCGAGGAAGAUUGACUCUAUUUCACGGUUCGUGAACACAGAAAUCCAGGUAAGGAAUUUUGUUAACCGGGGAGAAGGUGUUAGGCAUUCCCGGGUUUCAUGGUUCUAGCACGAUCUCUCAACAUUAUUAUUGGCCUAUUAUCCGAUUUAUUACAUGUUUUAAACCUAUUGUGCAUUUUUAACUUAUUAACCGCUUUUAAUAAUUUUAAAACGCUUUUAGGAAGAUUCAAUGUUAUUUAAAACAUGCCUUGAACCACGUCACAUGAAAUGCACCCGCGAUUCGCGACACUUUCUAUUUAACAUUGUUAAGAAUUGAAAUUGGGUCACAUGAAAUAUACACCCGAAUUUAGUAAUUAAAAGAAAGUCAAUUUAAAGAACGCGCCUAAAGCAACUACGAAAGUUCAAAUUAAUAACAAAAAGUUUGCGUGGGCUAUAGAAAAUUCAAUUGAUGGCACACCUCAAAUUAUUUUUAAAGGGAUUACACCUAACUAAACCUACGGUUAUUUGCAUCCAAACUUGAGCUCAAACCAAUGAUUAAUGUGCAAAGCAAAGCAAAGCAAACGAGCCCAAAUCUGAUCAUAGUGGGAACUGGACCAACAGCAGGCCCAGUGUACCAACGCACGCCUCUUCUUUCUUUUCUUUUUUUUAAAUAAAGAGAUGGGUAUUAACACUCAUUGGACUCAAAAUUGAGCCCAAAUGUAAACCAAGCAAUUAAAUCCAACGCAUGCCAAAAUGACAGACGAUUGCUGAGGCCCAAAAAUUAUUGCUCUGGGUCGUUCGUAGACAAGUUAUACAGACCCUAUAUCCAUACACAUUCAUUGAGCAACCAAUGACAAACAGUCUGGGACUUCACUUUUUAAUAUAUUUCAAUCGAUUUCAAUCUCAAAUUUACUAAAUGAAACCAUAUUUUACUACACAUGAUUCCAAAAUCAAGAUUACCAUUCAUGUUAACCACAGAAUCCUAGAUUAUAAACUACUUGCUAAUCUUAACCGUGAUUCCACUAAAACAUGCUAUUAAUCACGAAAAGAGGUCAAAUUCUGAAAUUCACCCAAAAGAUCAACAUUAUAUCUAUACCUAACAUCAUGCUUAACAAUACAAACACUUGAACUUACAUCUCAACAAUCAUUUGAAAGAAACCGUCCCAAAUAGUUACAACUACUAAGUAUAACAAAUUGUUUAACACUUAGGAAUAAACUAAGACAACUUAAACAUUCAAAUCAUCCAUCUAUACUAAGUCAGCAUUGACAAACUUAAAAUAAAAUCGAAACAGUAUCAUGAGCAACAAACAAAGAAGCAUCCAGCCAGGUGACCUAAAAUCCCAUUCCAAAUCAGUAUUUUACAAGUUCAUAUUAUCACUUCAAGCUCGGAAAUAUACCUGGAAUAAUAAGACACAAGCAACAGAACUUCAGCAAGAAAUAUCAUCAGCUUUUAAUCAACAGUAACCAAACAAUCAUCAACCAGCUACCAACAUGCUUUGAGUCCAGAAAAUAGUAGUGAUUCAAGCUUCUAAAAACCAAAAAAUGUGAAGAAAAGCCUGGUUGCAAUGAAAUAGUGCUCGAUUUUUUUGUGUUUUUUCUAGUUAUCAAAACUCUAUGUAUUUCAGUGUUCUAAUUGCAAAAAGAAACGGUGCUUGUUAUUCUCAGUCGUUUCUCAGUCUUGGUAUUGUAAAAAUCUCUUUGACAAUGAAGGAAACAAGCCUCUUAUAGAAAGCCCUUAGGGCAGCAGAAUUGAUGUUUUACUUUACCAUUUACCCCUUGUUCAAAUCCCCUUUUGUU